GUUUUUAGAAGUACAUCCAGGAGUUCCUCCAGGAAUUGCUGCCCAAGUUCCUCAGGAUGGCGGUGAAGGCCUCGUUAGAACGGUGCGUAAUUUCGAGUCUCAAGAAGAGGUGGUCGUCGUUUACGACAAAGGCACUGCUAGCAACUAUUGGUGCGCGGACGCAUCUGAUCUUCGAAUCCUGGAUAGUGCCCCGACCGAAAUUAAACACGUGAGAACCAUGUACGACAGAUGCCGAUAAUUGCCAUAUGCUGGAAGUGUGCCGAGUGUAACAAUUACGAUCUGUGCUCGAUCUGCUAUCACGGAGAUAUGCAUCAUUUGAGGAAUCGGUUGCAUCGAAUUUUGACACCAGGUGGCGAAAAAACGCUGUUGGAACCGCAACGCAAAUUAAAAAACAUUGCAGUGCGGGGGAUUUUUCCUGGGGCACGUUUUGUCCGAGGAGUCGAUUGGCAGUAGGAAGAUCAGGACGGUGGUAAUGGCCGACGCGAAAAGGUCAAUGUAAUUCAGGACUGGUCUUCGGCUUCAACAAAUUCAGCUGCACUGCAACAAUUUGCUGUGGGUGAUUUUGUCGAGAUUUGCAGUGAUUUGGAGAGGAUCAAGUGGCAUUUUCAUCGACUGUUACUACAAAUGGAGAACGAUUGUCGGCACUUUUGGAAAAGUUAUUUGAACCACACGCGUCUGAUGAUACGACUGAAGAAUUGAUGAAGGCAGCCAAUGGUGAUGUUGCUAAGGAUUGAACCCAACUAUUCAGAAAAACCAGCUAGCAGAAGUUCGGGAGGAAUCCAAAUCCGUAGAGACGCAUAUUACGUAUAAGGAAAAAGGAAUAAAAAAAUAAUAAUCAGGUUCAACAGACUUGUACGAACUGCUCAAAAUGGUUCACAGUCUACUCUGGAAGUCAGCACACAAGAUCGAGCGUCUUCUAGCAUUCAUCCCUCUGGGUGCCAUUACGAAGGACUACAUAUAAUUAAAAAAUAAAAUAAAUAUAAAA
rnacentral:lncRNA from 1 species